AUAAUCUUUGGUAAUGCAAAUCCUAGAAGUGUUCGGUAAUGUUCGACACAUGGGAGACCUUAUUUGGAUCCACGCCCCCUUCCAUAUCCGGCUCCCAUCUUUUCUGUCACUUGGCAAAUCUUGCGAUGAAACAACGUGAUUUAUUAUCCUUUUUAAACGAAGGUAAACAAUUUGUCUCGUCUCAUUAAUUAGGAAGAGAAUACAUAGUAUAGAUAACAAUAAACAUACAGAAUUACUCCCGAGGCUCUAAACUUGAUGGCCCGUUCACAGCCAACACUCAAAGGCUCGCCUCGGACUUGAUCAUGUAGAUGAUCCUCGAAGACAAGUAUGGAUGGUACUGACAGUUUGGACGACACUUAAGGGACAACAAGACAGUAGCGGAGCCAUAGAAUGGCCAGGAUGGGCAGCUGUCCAUCCUGAAUUUAAGUAUCAGCCAUUAUACUAUAAAAAUAGAUAAAAUAAAUAGAUAAAAAUAAAUCUGUAUGAGAGUAUAUGGACUAUUGGUCCAGUGGAUUGGGUCCGCCAGUACAACAAGAUAAUGUCACGCCUCCUUCCCCAUCGCCUUCCAAUCCGAUCACGCAUACACAUGGUCAUCAGCUCUCAUUUCAAAGAAAAAAGUCCCUAAAAGUGCUAUGAUUUGCUUCUAGAAAAGAUAAGCAAGCGUGGAUGCUGAUGGUGAGUGAGCGAGUAGGUCACUGGUGAUGCACUCAAGCUACGUACUCCAGCAUUGGGGACGCUUUAUAAGAUUGUGUAACACGCUCGCCAGUUCAACUACUUGUGUGGAUGGCAUUAUAUAUGUUAGGGGCGAGUUGCACGACCCGUCAACCUAUAAAAGGUGUCGUGCUUGAAUUGAGUUGUGUUAUCUACAUAUCGCUAGCAAUUCCAGUACAACCUCCAUCCGACACACUAUCAGCACCAUCGAACUCCGAUCCACGUGCGUAUUAUGCAUGUACUCCUACGAAAAUCCUCAACCGCAAAGCUAUUCCGUUUUGCUCACACGAUGUUAUCUUGGCAGCAAAAUCCGGUUAAUCUUAAAGCAGCGUGCAUGCUAUAUCUAUAUGUAGUCAGCUGCAGACAAGAUCAGAACUCACAAGACACCAUCCAUGUGUUCCAGUUUGUACCUUGUAUAUAGGCUUUAGAGCGAGCGACCUGCAUAAGGGCAUUUCUAACCAAUCCUUUAAAAGUAAAGUGAGUAUCCGGCAAAGUAAAGUUAGUAGAGUAAAAUAUCACUUCAUUAACAAUUGUCGCACCUAGUCGAUCACUUAUAUUUAGUGAAGUAAAAAUAAAAUUGUAUAGAUUUUCUAUCCUAAUUGCAUGAAUUUC
rnacentral:lncRNA from 1 species